rnacentral:rRNA from 1 species
CUCGCAGAAUAAGCACCGGCUAACUCUGUGCCAGCAGCCGCGGUAAUACAGAGGGUGCGAGCGUUAAUCGGAUUUACUGGGCGUAAAGCGUGCGUAGGCGGCUUAUUAAGUCGGAUGUGAAAUCCCCGAGCUUAACUUGGGAAUUGCAUUCGAUACUGGUGAGCUAGAGUAUGGGAGAGGAUGGUAGAAUUCCAGGUGUAGCGGUGAAAUGCGUAGAGAUCUGGAGGAAUACCGAUGGCGAAGGCAGCCAUCUGGCCUAAUACUGACGCUGAGGUACGAAAGCAUGGGGAGCAAACAGGAUUAGAUACCCUGGUAGUCCAUGCCGUAAACGAUGUCUACUAGCCGUUGGGGCCUCUGAGGCUUUAGUGGCGCAGCUAACGCGAUAAGUAGACCGCCUGGGGAGUACGGUCGCAAGACUAAAACUCAAAUGAAUUGACGGGGGCCCGCACAAGCGGUGGAGCAUGUGGUUUAAUUCGAUGCAACGCGAAGAACCUUACCUGGCCUUGACAUACUAGAAACUUUCCAGAGAUGGAUUGGUGCCUUCGGGAAUCUAGAUACAGGUGCUGCAUGGCUGUCGUCAGCUCGUGUCGUGAGAUGUUGGGUUAAGUCCCGCAACGAGCGCAACCCUUUUCCUUACUUGCCAGCAUUUCGGAUGGGAACUUUAAGGAUACUGCCAGUGACAAACUGGAGGAAGGCGGGGACGACGUCAAGUCAUCAUGGCCCUUACGGCCAGGGCUACACACGUGCUACAAUGGUCGGUACAAAGGGUUGCUACACAGCGAUGUGAUGCUAAUCUCAAAAAGCCGAUCGUAGUCCGGAUUGGAGUCUGCAACUCGACUCCAUGAAGUCG